rnacentral:rRNA from 1 species
AUGGUACGGAUAAUUUCCGUUCCGUAUCCGCAUCCGCAUCCGUUUUUAAGGAUAUGGUAUGCACUUUCACAAAUCCGACGGAUACGGAUGCGGAUACGGAUAAUUGUUAACCGGAUAUCCGACGAAUAUGGUAACGAAUAUGGUAUCGAUAAUAUCCGACGGAUCUGGAUUAUCCGGUAUUUUUUGUGGAUUAUCCGGUGUUAUCAAAUAGGAUUAUCCGAUAAAUUUGGUCCAAUCGACAAGCCCAACGACCCAAUUAGAUCGCUGAUCAGAAUCACCACAUAUAAAUAUCAUAUAACCCUAAACCUAAUAGCACCGCCGUAUGACUGUACACAUUGUACAGUCAUACACCGUUCAAGUCUAUUUUCUGCGCUUGUACGUACAUUUUAUGUGUACAGUCAUACGGCGGUGCUAUUAGGUUUAGGGUUAUAUGAUAUUUAUAUGUGGUGA